CGAACUGUGCGAACGUUAUUCGGAAUCACUGGGCUUACAGGGUGCGUAGGCGGCUAUUCAGGUCAGGUGUGAAAGCCCUCGGCUCAACCGAGGAACUGCGCUUGAAACCGGAUGGCUCGAGUCAACUAGAGGUGCACGGAACUUCCAGUGGAGCGGUGAAAUGUGUUGAUAUUGGAAGGAACACCGGAGGCGAAAGCGGUGCACUGGGGUUGGUCUGACGCUGAGGCACGAAAGCCAGGGGAGCGAACGGGAUUAGAUACCCCGGUAGUCCUGGCCGUAAACGAUGAGUGCUGGACGGGAGGGGGUUCGCCCUUUCCGGUCGGAGCGAAAGCGGGAAGCACUCCGCCUGGGGAGUAUGGUCGCAAGGCUG
rnacentral:rRNA from 1 species